GAGGGUAUAUCUCAGUGGUAGAGUGUGUGCUUAGCACGUGCGAGGUCUUGGGCUCAAUUCCCAGUACCUCUG
rnacentral:tRNA from 1 species